CUCUCUGUCUCUCUCUCAAAAAUAAACAUUAAAAAAAGUUAACUACAGUUUAUGUUUGGAACUAAAAGAGAUUUGUAGAUUCACAAUGUUUUCUCUGUGUCUAAAAAUUUUAAGAGAUAAAUUUCCUUUUGUUCCAAAGAUUAUUAUUCAAGUGUUUAACAAUGUUAAGUCUUUUCAAAACAUAAGAUCUUCUUUUAAGAAGUGCAAAUUCAAUUUGUUAACAUAUCAGAAUAUUUUUUGAAUUAAUUUUAAGUAUAAAAUAACUAGUGCUUUUUACUCUAUGCCUUCAGUUAUUCAUGUAGCAUUAAUUUAAACUGUAUGAGUAAGUCAUUUCUACUUUCCAUGUAUUACAAACUGUCUUGCCCCUAACAGGCAAUUUUAUAUCGCAGAGAAUGAAAAUUUCAAUUUGCAAUAAGUAGCUUUUUUUCUCAGGUCGAAUAUCAAAUACUGUUUAUAAAGCGUGUAAGCAGGAUUUCUUUUGGUAGUGUUGGACUGUGCACGUUGACAAUAUUAGAAGAAUCCUUGGAAUCAUUCCUAGCUUUCUGCUUUGGACUUGGACCAGUUCAAGUGAAAGUUCAGAAAUCUUAUUGGGAAGAUCCAUGUAGAAAAAGAAGCAUGCAAAUCUUCAUAGAUACAUGCCGGGCACAACAUGGGCAAUAACUUCUGAGUUCUGUAGACGAAAUAAUGGCAUCACCGAAGACAAAAGAAGAGAAGAGAGAAAUUGAUGUAAAUGCGCAAAGGGGGACUGACCUUUGUUUCACUUCAAUACACAGGUAUAUUGGGUUUGUAUUGAAAUAUCAAAUCCGUACCCUAGUAUAUUCGUUUCAACGGCAUUGCCCUUAGAGCACAGUGAGAAAGUCUCAGAACGUGUGCAGGAGGAGGGUCAUAAUGAAGCAUCCUUGAAUCAAUUUGGUCAAAAGUAAUGAGAGAGAUGGAGAGGUAGUUGAGUGGUUUAAGCAGCAAAACUUAAAGGAAAGGACAUCAGGUAUCGCUGGUGUAAUCUUUGGUAUAUAAUGCAUUUACAAAUUAGAAUUCAUUUGCAGCUGCCAUUCUUCCUCCAUUUGAACAUAGUUUAUUUAUUUACUUGUUUACUUGCUUGUUUGAACAGUCAUAGUUUAUUAACUUCAAUUCCUGAACAAAAUAUUGAGUGUCUGGCCAUGCUUUUACCAGAGAAAAGAUUUCCCAUGAGAGGGAACAUUUCAGAAAUGAACUUCUCGGGGGCGCCCAGGUGGCUCAAUCAGUUAAGCGCUAGACUCUUGAUCUCAGCUCAAGUCUUGAUCUCAGAGCUGUGAGUUCAAGCCUUGCAUUGGGCUCCAUGCUGGGCAUGAAGCCUACUUAAAAAAAAAAAAAAGAAAGAAAAAGAAAAGAAAGAAAAAAAGAAAUGAAUAUCUAGGCUUUUAGUUUCAAAAUAUCCUCCUUUUCAGAGCCUAUAAUUGCUUUCUGUCAAACUGGGAAGUUAAUCUGGAAUGUUCUCAGGAUGCCCAAGUUCUCGCAAGCUUUAUACCUAAAGCAGAUUCACAGCUAUGCAGAGAACAACCUUUGAAGUCACCAUGCCUUGCUAGUGUCUCAGGUUCUGCUUUGAUCUUUAGGAACCAUUUUUCCUAGGAAACUUUCUUGCAAUUGUAUUUUCUGUCACCACGUAUUUUUAUUCUAUAAUGUCCAUAUUUCUUACUAAUCAAGGGUGUUGUUUUUGGUGAUAUAAAGAGAAACAAUAUCACAGAAGCUAUGUGAUUUCUUUUAAAUGCUCAUUGUAACUGAUUUUGAUUAAAGUAAUUAAUUUUUUUUUUUAUUUUUACCUUCUGGCAUUUGAACAGGAAAAGUGGAGUCACUUGUUUGUAAACAUUAUGUAAAAUGAGAAAGAGGCAGAAAAAGUCCAAUUUCUUGAUGAGUUUUAUCCUUUUACUUGUUACAGGUUGGGUUUGGGGAAGCUUUGCAUUAAAAUAUCUAACAACUAUUUAAUAGAUGUUUAAUAUUUAAUAAAAUAAUAAUUAUAUUGC